GACGAACGCUGGCGGCGUGCCUAAUACAUGCAAGUAGAACGCUGAAGAGAGGAGCUUGCUCUUCUUGGAUGAGUUGCGAACGGGUGAGUAACGCGUAGGUAACCUGCCUGGUAGCGGGGGAUAACUAUUGGAAACGAUAGCUGAUACCGCAUAAAAUUGAUUAUUGCAUGAUAAUUAAUUGAAAGAUGCAACUGCAUCACUACCAGAUGGACCUGCGUUGUAUUAGCUAGUUGGUGAGGUAACGGCUCACCAAGGCGACGAUACAUAGCCGACCUGGGAGGGUGGUCGGCCACACUGGGACUGGGACACGGCCCAGACUCCUACGGGAGGCAGCAGUAGGGGAUCUUCGGCAAUGGGGGGAACCCUGACCGAGCAACGCCGCGUGAGUGAAGAAGGUUUUCGGAUCGUAAAGCUCUGUUGUAAGAGAAGAACGGGUGUGAGAGUGGAAAGUUCACACUGUGACGGUAUCUUACCAGAAAGGGACGGCUAACUACGUG
rnacentral:rRNA from 1 species